ACAGAAGAACACAGGAUAACUCUCCAGUUGACCGAGCAAAAGCAAACAUGUUGAAAACGCUCUCCCUCGCCUGCAUCAUUGUCUGCGUUGCAGCUGAUAGCUAUUACCCUAAAGCUGGUGAUUAUUACCCUAACAGUAACCACUUUGGAGGUUGCGGGCCAUAUGGAUGUACUUAUGGCGUCAACUCAGUAGGCCCCUACGGCACCUAUGGAGGAAUCAUCAGCUCCGGUAGCUUGGGAGGAGUCAACUCUGGAUUUGUUGGAACUGGAGGACUCAACACUGGAUUGCUUGGAAUCGGAGGAGGAUCUGCUGCCGCUUCUGCUGCCGCUCUGGAUCUGGAGGUUUGAUUGCUCCAUUCAACUACUACCAGCCUGGAUACAACUACUACCCAGGACAAAUCUACAACAACAUCCACAGCUCCCAGUACUAUCCCAACUACUACAACCAAUAUUACCAGUCUUUCCCCUACUACAGCAAUCCAUAUUUCGGUGUUGGAGGAGGAUCUGCCGCCGCUUCAGCUGCUGCCGCUGGUAAUGCAGCCGCUGCUUCCUCUGCUGCCGCUAGUGGAUUCAACAAUUUCAAUAGAGGUUUCGGAGGAUUGAACAACAUUGUUGGUGGUGGAUUAAGAAGAAUUGGAAGACGUAAUAAGGUGUACUAAGCGAAGCCGUCCUAUCUCCUGAUGAAUAUUGUUUUUUUAUGCUUUUGGUUGUGCAAUAAAUGUUUGUUGACUAU
rnacentral:misc_RNA from 1 species